GGAAAUUAUAUGGUCUUUAGAUUCCCAAGCUCAUAUGAGGAUGCUAGAUGCUCAAAUAGUAGCAAUUUGGUGGAAAGAUGGCGUACGACCCCUUCAAUUGGAGAAAGCGCUACUGCCUCAUGUGUGUGCUAACUUGGCUUGUUUUCCCAAAAUAUUCAGCCAUGUUUAGGGUCUGUUUUGGUGAUGUUAAUACAUUAGGAUGGUAGUGUAGAUGAGGAGGGAUGAAAGGUGGUGGCCGACCAUGGGUGUUUCCAGAAGUGGUGGAAUCGAUUUGUAUAGGGCACGCAGAUUGUGGUUGUUCCCAGCAAUUUCUGCCUCUAAUUGGAUAUUUGGGAUCGGUUACUUGUUGGAUUGUGUUUUUGGUGAGAGUCCAUCGAUGUAGAGGGCAAUUUCUUUGUGGCAAGAGCGGCGACAAGAUGGUGGUAUAGGUGAUGAGCACGAUAGAUGCAUAAGGGGCCAACAAUCACCCUCUUUUUUACGUGGCUUUUUGAUGUGGUAACAACAUGGUUAUUGUAUCGAGUUCCCAGAGAAGGCUCCAAUGAUGAUGUCAAAAAUUGUACCUGUUGAUUUCUCGAGAUUGAGGACUGGGAUCGAGCAUGAAUGGAGCCUUCCAGUACCUGAAACACACCUCGUUGCCCCUCCGAUGCUUAAUUCAGACGGGAAAAUUAUGUAAAAGUAUGUAUUGUAAUUGUAUUGUAAAAACGUACCUAAAUAAUGGGGCUAGGUCUUGUAGUUAUAGACAUUGGUGGUUGAGUUGUAGAAGGAUUCAACCAUUUAGAGUCCUUAUCCUCAUCAAAUAGAGUAAUUGAGUUAUAAGAGGACUAAAACACGUAAAAAGGCUCGAG
rnacentral:lncRNA from 1 species